GGGGAUUUAGCUCAGUGGUAGAGCGCCUGCUUAGCAAGCGCAAGGCCCUGGGUUCGGUCCCCAGCUCCG
rnacentral:tRNA from 1 species